rnacentral:misc_RNA from 1 species
GUAGGUGAACCUGCGGAAGGAUCAUUAUUGAAAUUAUAGGCGAGGGUUGUAGCUGGCCUCUCGGGGCAUGUGCACGCCCGAGCCCCUUAAUCCCACACACACCUGUGAACCUAUUGUAAGGGCCCGUAAAAAAGGCCUUUACGUCUUUAUCACCUACCCGAAGUCUCAUAGAAUGUAAACGUAUGUCCUCGCCUUAAAAAAGCGUUGAUAAAAUUUAUACAACUUUCAACAACGGAUCUCUUGGCUCUC